UCAGCAUCUUCAGAGACCAAAUUCAGCUUACAGCAUUCACACUAGCAUUAUCACAGCUCUAGUGGACGGCUGACCAGAGGAAGCCGUCUGUGAGGAGAUGCUCGUGAGGAACAAAGAGAAACAGACCAGAGAAGAUGAUUUGAAAGAAACCCAGCGGCGUUCCUGUGGCGUUCAAACACACACACAGAAGCAGACCUCACCUCUGCGGCUCUGCACUGAAGACGCAGGGGAACGUUACAGCGAGGAAGGCAGAAGGGAACAGAGAGAAAGAGGAGGGUGAGUGCUGGUCGUGCUGAAGGUUAAAGAUCAUUCUGAAACAAGUGAGCGGAAGAGAAGAAAACCCAACAGGACAGAGUGCAGGACACGUCUGUAAAAGAGUGUCCUGCAGCCAACAGGCGGGGUUUGACUCUGGCAGCUUCGCUGUGCUUCGAGUCUGCUGCGUGCAGUAAAAGGAGGUGCAGAGUACGCACUGAUCUGGUUGAGGGUUUCUGCAGGGAUCCAGCUCAUGUCCACGUCGUUGUGGCUGGAGGUUCCUGUUUCCACCUUCUGAGCCGGACGCCUCCUCUGCAAACAUACACGGUGAGUCAGGGUCACCUCAGCUACACCACCGUCUGAACAUGUGAGAAAUUAAUACAAAAACAAGUCCAAACCUUUCUGGACUCCAGCAGCUGGUGAAGUCCCACGAUGACGAGCAGGCCCAGCCCGGAGAGGAAGACGUACAUGAAAAUCCUGAAGGCAGAGGACAAGUGAGAGGCAGCAGAGGUGACGCCUGGAGGCAGAUGAAGAUGUCUUACGUUUCUCCGUCCAGCCCGUCCUCCUUCUCAGUGAUGGUGACAGUCUGGUUGAACACGGCAUCUUGGAAAAUGUUUCCCUGAGGACGAGGAAGAGCAAACAGGAGUUAGUGAUGAAGGUCAGGAAGGACGCACAGAUGGGUCAGGUUAGGUCAGUCCUGCUUACGCUGCUGUCCUUGUAGUUGAGGUUGAUGACGAGUCCAAACGGACGGCCUCCCAUGGGCUCGGCGGGGAUGAAGGAGUACUCGAAGGUGGCCUGUCUGCCAGGAGGAACCACGAUGCCGAGCUGCAGAGCCGUGAAGUUCUGGAUGUAGAACUGGUAAUCCUGAGAGGAGCCGACAGUUAGAGCAGGAACCACGAGCACCCUCGUCCCCGUCUCCUCUCCUCACCUGAGGGUAACGGAAGGAAGCGUCCAGAGAAUCCACCACGAAGUUCUCAGGACCUUUGUUGGUGAAGCCCAGCAGGAACUUGACGAUGUUGUUGGCGGGGAAGUCUGAGCAGAAACAAGAGCGUGGGUGAGGGUUUCAGCCAGAGCUGCACCGGAGCUCAGACAGCUGAGAUGAAGCAGUCACCUUCUCCUUUGACGAAGAGGAUGGUGGUGUCAGCGUUGGGAGAAGCCUUCACCUCUCCAACCAAAGCUUCUUCCUCCUCUUCUUUUUCCUCCGUCUGAACACAAACAAAAAACUCUAUCAAAUACAAAUAUUUUAACUUAACUUCAUAACUGUAAUAAACCAGAAGAAAGUCUGAAAAACGUUCAAUAACUCUCCUCUUCAUCGCAGCACAACUCACCAGCUCUACAUUUUCAUCAUCCUCCACCUCAGCCUCAUUGUCCUCAUCUUCAGCAGUCACAUCGUCCACCACAUCUUCAUCCACGGCGUCAGCCUCCUCAUCCUCAGUCAAGUCUUGAGCUUGUACCAGCGGUCCUGACGGGCAGAAGACGUUUUAGAGAUGAGCAUCCCCGACAGACACCUACUGAGCAUGCUCAGUAAAAUGACCUUUGUGUGGGACAAAAACUCUAAAGCUAUGUCCGAAUUCCUCUGCUACGCACUAUAUACCACAUUCGCCAUUUUCUAGUCCUAUUCCAAAAUCAAGUGCACUGGAAAUUUCCCAGAAGUCUAUACAAAAAUCAAGCGUGCAUCUAGCUCACUGCGUUAGCGAAUAUAGACCAUAAUGCAUUGCAGUCGUACAAUUUCAAACAAAAAAACGUGUUUAAAUCUCAUUUUUUAAUAAACUAUCCACAUUUUCCCCCUCAGAACACA